UACGUAGGGUGCGAGCGUUAAUCGGAAUUACUGGGCGUAAAGCGUGCGCAGGCGGUUUGCUAAGACCGAUGUGAAAUCCCCGGGCUUAACCUGGGAACUGCAUUGGUGACUGGCAGGCUAGAGUAUGACAGAGGGGGGUAGAAUUCCACGUGUAGCAGUGAAAUGCGUAGAGAUGUGGAGGAAUACCGAUGGCGAAGGCAGCCCCCUGGGCCAAUACUGACGCUCAUGCACGAAAGCGUGGGGAGCAAACAGG
rnacentral:rRNA from 1 species